rnacentral:ribozyme from 1 species
UUCCUUUGAUUGAAUCAAUUGAUGAAGAUUAUACGGCGCGUUGCGAACAUCAGAAUGAUCAGGUAUAUUCCGAAAAAUUACCGGAUAUGAAUCUACUUAGUAAUCAUAGGAAUAAUGAUAUUCUUGUG